UUAGAGACUACUGUCCGGAUUGAGGAAAAUGCCUGCUCAGCUAUUCCGCCAGCAUUUCUGUAAGCUUCUUGUAUCUUUUUCCCCAGUUCAGCUAAUAAGUUUCCAUAUAUUAUUCCUGGAAUCAGUAACAGCAGCAAUGCAGGUAUGGUGAUGACUGCCAGUUUCCAGCAGAGGUACAAGCUGACCAGCUGACUAACCGUGAAUGUUGCUAUGUUCAUUAGAAAAUUUGGGACCUGCUUCAACAAGAUUUGUCCCAAAAUACGAAGGUAGAUGUAUGAGAACUCUCAGCCAUGGAUGGACAGGUAAUGGAUAAUGCGAUGUGAAAUAUAAUGUUGUUUUGCCUACCAAAAAUAAAUAAUAUAUAUAUUUGGUUUAUAUGGCUCUAGUUUUCUAUCAUGAAGUAGAUAUGAGUUUAGUGAUAGUAAAACCUUCUCACUUAGAACACUUUGGAUGGUGAGGGUAUCAGUUGAAAUACAUGAAACGGUUUGAUAUGUUGUUGAAGUACCCUUCAUUGUGUCCAGGAAACCAGCAUCUUGUCUUAUCACAGCUCUUAAAUACUUCCUGCGCAGGCGAGAAGUCUGCCUCUCUGAGGUUCGAGCCCAACAUAGCCCUUCUGUUAAAGAUUAAGACAAAAUCGAAAAUAGACAAAUUAUUGACGAACGUUAUGGAUCAGAUUCUUGUAUAUGAAGUCAUGAACCAUUCAUAUUUAAACAUCGUUUUAACAUUCAGAUUUCUUUCUUCUUUUAUUUUUCACACCACCUAAAAACACCUCAUAAAACCCUAAUCAUGUUCACCUAAAAUUAACGAAAUGAAGGGCAAGUGUGCGUUGGCUCUAGAUCAUCUGCACUUUGAGUUAUAACCUCUGGAUAUCUCGAGCCUUAACCCUUGCAUCUGUGCCAUUAACUGCAUAGAUGAUUAUAUGUAGAGGUCAACACUGAAACAUUGACAUUGGUUUGUGUAUACGCUGUUUUCCUCUCUUUUGGUACAGGAACAUAAAAAUCAAGAGGUUUCUAACACAACCCCGUUUAGGAUUUCCUUUUUAGUCUUAAUCUCCAAAACAGUGAACUUGCAUAAUCAAUUUCAAGAUAAAGCCUACUUUGUCUUUUCUAUUGGUUGUAGAGGAUAAUAAUUGCUUCUUUUAGCAUUCCGUUGUUUUUCAAUACUUGAUAUCACAUGUUAAGAACCAAAUUUCCCCCUUUUUCCAAUUAAAUGAGGUCACUCGAUUCCAGGAACCAUUUUCACCUUCAGUUCCUGAAGCCAUUGCCUUCAUUUAUUUUGUAAUCUUCGAUGUUAUAUAUCUUAAGGUACAUUCUAUUAGCGAGAGUUUUCUGAACAAUUUAAAUUUAUAACAUACAGGGAUGUAUUAGGAGAAAGUACAAGGGAGAGAAACAUAGGGGUGAAAGAUUCCAAGAAAACCGGAUGGGACUACAUUUUUAUAGUUUCUGGCAUAAAGAGAACUCUUUCUGCAUCCCCCAAAAGUAAGCUGUUAUAAUGCUCUCUUGUAUCCCAGAAAACCAAUUAGUGCUGUAUAAUGUGUUGCGCAGUCCACCUUCACGUAAUUCCCUACGUUUUUAAAGACCUAUGUUGCUAAAACAUUUUUAUACUACUAAGGGUUCCCAAUUAACUAUUUAGGAACAUAUCAAGACUCAAAAUUCGGUUUUAGGCACUAAUGUGAAUCAGCUUGGGUUUGGUGAAGGUAUUGGCUUAUCCUGGGACAUAGUUUUCACUCUUGAAGAGCACACCAUGUCUGUUUCUAUUAGUCCUGAUGGUAGAGUACUGUGUUCCUGGAUCCAUACACUUGAAUCUUGGUUUUAUUGUUCUUAAUUUCUAACUGUAGAAUUGCUUACAAUAAUGAUAUUAGUCCUUACCUAGAAAUGCGCCGAAUCCCACCAGAACGGCAACGAAAAGUAGAUUAAAUGCGUCGUCCUACAAAAAUGAAGAAAAGAAAGGAUUACUCAAACCAAAUUUCCUGAGUAGGCAUAUAUAUAAAGAGGACAGUUAAGCCAGUAAAAGGAUUUUAUUGAUAUUUUGCAUGUUUUUAGAAGUUGGACAGGAAUCUGUCAAUCCAACUGUCACUUAAGUAUGUCAUCAAGAAAAUGCACCACGCCUACCUUCCUUGCGACUCGUCAUUGUUAUUGGAUACAACACGAAGUUUGCUUUUAGGCCUGCGUAAUCUAUAUAAAAUUACAUGCAAAAUGCAGAUUUCUCUAAGGUGUUCAAUGCAUUCUUAAGGGAUUCCUUUGAACCCAGUAUCUUUGUAUCCUAGCAACUAGAAUAUAAAUAUAUUUAGUUGUAGCCUUGAGACUAUGGACGCCAAUUAUCAAUAUUAGUCCAGGUAUACCAACCUCUAUGAUGUAGGUAAUAGUAACAGAGGACUUGGCAGAGUAAUUGUUCAUAGUCUUACUGAGAACGAGCAUGAUGAGUGGUGUUGAUGAUCCAUCUGCCAUACACCCGACCAUACCAAGUCCCAUCAACAGAAUAUCCUUCAUGUCCGAAUAUCUAAACAACAAAGUGAGCAUUCCAAGUUGUGUCCUUGAGUCCAAGCUCUUUUCAUUUUUCUCUUCUGUGCUCUUUUCAUUUAUCUCUAGUUCUGCCAUUUGUUGACCUUCUUGUUUUCCUUUAGCUCAAAUAGCUUUAGAAUCUUGGUCAUAAACAUCCAGUAUAUAAAUAAGUGAUACGUAAGUGGGCUCCAUUUAUAUUGAGAGUAUCUUCUUUUUAAUCGGCAGCUCUGAUCACAUUGCAUCUUUAACAAUGAUUCUAUUGUUGUUUGUGUUUAGAUUCCAGUCCCACAGGGAGUUGGUUGGCUACAGAGUAUGAUUUAUCGCAAUAGGUCAAUUGGUGUCCAAAGGCAACAAGAAGGUAGAAAGCUGCUUUAUCCUUUUAGAUUAAAGAACAUGUAUUUUCCUUUGGAAAUGUUUUAUGAUUCACUAUCAGCAAAUAGAACCUUUUCCAAGUGCUAGAUUUUGACUCUUAUCGUUCUUGUAAAUCCAUUUCAGCUCUUUUCUUUAACUUAUCCUGUUCUUGUUGAUGUUCUAAAUCUGAUCUACCUAAGUGCAAUUAUAAUUAAAACUGGAAAAUUGUGAUGAAAGACCAUGUACAAAAGAGAA
rnacentral:lncRNA from 1 species